CCCUCAGCUCUGUGGAGUUUGUCAAACUGCUGGCAAUCUUCAGUUUGACCCUGCGAGACUUCAGGUCGAGCAGUCGCUGGAACAAAAGUUGACCCUGAAGCAGAGAACCCAUUGGUACAGCCUCUCCAGAGCACACACAGGGAGUGAAAGGCGACAGAGAGAGGGAGGUGCAGCCUGCCGUCCGAGUGGAGAGAGAGGUCAUCCGGAAUGUUCUCCACGAGCACGAUGCUGAAAGUUACAAUGUUCACCGAGGAGAAGAUCAACACCAGCAGCACGCUGAAGCAGCAGAGGAGUGCAAAGAUGGCAAUGCACUUCUGCUGCGUCUGGAAGACAAAGGCAGACGACAAAAGUCAAAACGGUUUUGGGGAUGGAGUGCAAAUGAAAAUGAGCGCUGCUUUAAAUGCUUCUGCUCUCAGUCAAUGACAUUGAUUGGAGGUAAGGAUUCAUGAUCAAUACAAAUGCUGUCCCACAGAAGAACGUUCUGAGUGGAGGACUGGCCCUAGUGCAAAUAAAUUCCCCCAGAUUCAUGUGAACCCCUGCUCCCUGUUCUGCAGAACCAAACUUCCUGCUGCUGUCUUUUCAGACAGGCAGCUCCCAGCUGACAGCGUUUUUAUGAGCUCUGCGUCAGAGUAGGAACAGUCAAUGUUGCUUUAAUGAAAAGACAUAUUAUAGACCAUACUUGUGGACAUGCUGUGUGUGUGUGUGCACAGCCCAUGGUACACAGAGUCAGAGGUAAUAACGCCACCCUGCCCGAGGACUCUGAUUCUCAGUUUUAAAAGUGCAGAAAAGCACUUCUGUUUUGCUUACGGCGGCAGAUCUGGCUGCUUCACUGUCGGGCUUUGUGGCUUUGGGAGCUGUCAACUUCACAUUAAAUAUUCUCUUUUGUGUGUUUGAUCAAUCAA